rnacentral:misc_RNA from 1 species
GUGAAUCAUCAAAUUUUUGAACGCAAAUUGCACUUUCUGCUGUGCGUGAAAGUGUUCCAGUUUCAGGGUCAGAUAAAUAAACAUCGGUGUUGCUUCUGCUUUUCGUGGUUAGGCGUCGGAAUUGAGUUGUCUUACCUUCGGUUAAGCGACUUAAAAUUUUGCUUGAGUUUCGAACGUAGUUAAAUAUCUUACGUAUGUUUCAGGUAUAGGAUACUUUA